rnacentral:rRNA from 1 species
GACGAAGGGGGCUAGCGUUGUUCGGAAUUACUGGGCGUAAAGCGCGUGUAGCCGGUUGCCCAAGUCGGGUGUGAAAGCCUUGAGCUCAACUCAAGAAAUGCACUCGGUACUGGGUGACUAGAGGACCGGAGAGGAUAGUGGAAUUCCCAGUGUAGUGGUGAAAUACGUAGAGAUUGGGAAGAACACCAGUGGCGAAGGCGGCUAUCUGGACGGUUUCUGACGCUAAGACGCGAAAGCGUGGGGAGCAAACAGG